GGGCGAGUAGCUCAGCUAGGUUUAGAGCGCUACCCUUACAAGGUAGAUGUCACAGGUUCGAUCCCUGUCUCGCCCACCA
rnacentral:tRNA from 1 species